CCCUCCGAGCCACAAGGCCCUCCCUCCCAGCAGCAAAAGCAGUCAGAGUACAAUGUUCCCUAGUCUGAUCUGCUCUUACCUUCCUUCAUUCAUUCAAUCAUUCACUCAGCUGACCAGCAGACACUGGAUGACCACCCCAGGGCCAGGCCUUGUGGCAAAUGCUAGAGUAAUGAUCAGACACAUCACACCUGCUUUCUAGAAGGCCUCCCUCACAAACCAGAUCAACUGCUAUGAUAAAAGUAAGACAAGGAACAGUGUUGCAGAAGGCAGGAACAAACAACUACAGCAGAGUGGUCAGAGAAGGCUACACAGAGUUGAUUGCACUGGACAUCAGAGAUUGAGGAAGAAUGUUCUUGGAAGACAAGACAGGUUCAAUGCUUGGAGGGGUGAGAGGAGGCAGCCAUCUUAUAACCACAGGUGACAGGAAGACACUAAACACGGCCGUGCGGAAAGACAGAAGGCGCCUCCAUCCCUCAGCACCACAGAGACAUCGUAUCAGCCUAGAAAUGCCUAAAUCUGAACUUCCUCUUACCUAAGAAAAAUAAAACCUCAAUUUGAUUCAGUCACUGUU